GACGAACGCUGGCGGCGUGCUUAACACAUGCAAGUCGAACGGUGAAGCGAGUGCUUGCACUCGUGGAUCAGUGGCGAACGGGUGAGUAACACGUGAGUAACCUGCCCAUCACUCUGGGAUAAGCACUGGAAACGGUGUCUAAUACUGGAUACGACCAACCCGUGCAUGGGGUGUUGGUGGAAAGAUUUAUCGGUGAUGGAUGGACUCGCGGCCUAUCAGCUUGUUGGCGGGGUAAUGGCCCACCAAGGCGACGACGGGUAGCCGGCCUGAGAGGGUGACCGGCCACACUGGGACUGAGACACGGCCCAGACUCCUACGGGAGGCAGCAGUGGGGAAUAUUGCACAAUGGGCGAAAGCCUGAUGCAGCGACGCCGCGUGAGGGAUGACGGCCUUCGGGUUGUAAACCUCUUUCAGCAGGGAAGAAGCGAAAGUGACGGUACCUGCAGAAGAAGCACCGGCUAACUACGUG
rnacentral:rRNA from 1 species